UUCACAGAACAACAUUGUGUGAUACGGUGUCUGAGGAAGAAUGCUCUGUGUAAAUAAACUGUAUUGUCUCUCCGGUUUCUGGUAUGCAUGUUUGUCCAUGGCUUUUCCUGCUAUUCCUCGGUCACAUUUCAUACUAUAUCAUUAGGGGCUAUGCGAUUCCAGCAGGGACUCCAAUUUAAUGCCAACCUCACCCUGGACUAAGGAAAUUUCAUCUCAAGUUCCCUUACAGAUGUUUUUAGGUAAUAACUGGAGCUGGGAAGAAAUCCAGAUGCAGUCAAAUUAUCUGUCAUUGUUCCAUUUCUGCCUACAUGAUGUGCUAAAACAAAUAGGCAAAGAGGAAGAGAGCAAGACAGGAUAUAAAAUUUAGAAAUUCUUGGUUUAAAAGGCAUCCAGUACUCCUCCUUUUGUGAAGAAUAAAGGAAGCUGAUGUGAGCGUUUGCUUCCUUCAGCCUCUUGCCAUGUGGAAAUCAGUAAGGCUCAGAGUAAGACCCAUAGAUUGCUGAUUGCAGAGCGACAUGCUUCAAGCACUCAUAUGAACAGACAAAAUGACAAGCAAGAAAGAGCCAGUCACAUGGGAAACAUCAUCAGAUAGACUGUUAUCCAAAGGAGAGCAGAAAUUGUGUAACUCUGUUGUGAUGGCAAAAGCUGGAUGAUGGUCAACAAUCUUUACAUCAGAAAUGUCAUUUGAAGAAGAAGUAGUAUACUGCAAGUGCCACGUAUGUAUAUUGCAUGUACAAAACACUUUUAGUUCUCCCCAUGUUAGCAGCUCUGCUCUUCUUUGUGGCCACAACCCAGCCUUCCUUUCUUCCUCCUUAGCCAUCUAUGUGAAGUUGAUUUCAUUUAGCCAUGUAACUACCCAUAGCAGAGUUCAUAGCAGAGUUUUACAUCUAAAUGAGUAAUUGCCACUGCAAAAAAAUGUGCAUGAAAAAAUGCACAGAUAUUUGCAAGUGACAUUAAUUGAAAAACACUAAGGAAAUUUCUCUAACCUUCUUGACGAGAGAAAAUCCUGCAGGCCCAUAUUGUUUGCCCUAUCCUUACCAUAUACGUCUACCAAAUCAGUGUUAGGAUGAGCUGAUAAGAGC